UACGGGGGGUGCGAGCGUUAAUCGGAAUUACUGGGCGUAAAGCGUGCGCAGGCGGUUCGGAAAGAAAGAUGUGAAAUCCCAGAGCUUAACUUUGGAACUGCAUUUUUUAACUACCGAGCUAGAGUGUGUCAGAGGGAGGUGGAAUUCCGCGUGUAGCAGUGAAAUGCGUAGAUAUGCGGAGGAACACCGAUGGCGAAGGCAAUCCCCUGGACCUCGUACUGACGCUCAUGCACGAAAGCGUGGGGAGCAAACAGGG
rnacentral:rRNA from 1 species